rnacentral:rRNA from 1 species
GCCGCUAAAUCCCCCAAUUUUUAAUGGUUGACCUCGGAUCAGGUAGGAAUACCCG